AUGGGAACCUGCCUUCUGGUACGGGAUAACCGCGGGAAACUGCGGCUAAUACCGUAUGUCCCCUGAGGGGGAAAGAUUUAUCGCCAGAAGAGGGGCCCGCGUCCGAUUAGCUAGUUGGUGAGGUAACGGCUCACCAAGGCUUCGAUCGGUAGCUGGUCUGAGAGGAUGAUCAGCCACACUGGGACUGAGACACGGCCCAGACUCCUACGGGAGGCAGCAGUGGGGAAUAUUGGACAAUGGGCGAAAGCCUGAUCCAGCAAUGCCGCGUGAGUGAGGAAGGCCUUAGGGUUGUAAAGCUCUUUCGGCAGGGACGAUGAUGACGGUACCCGCAGAAGAAGCCCCGGCUAACUUCGUGCCAGCAGCCGCGGUAAUACGAAGGGGGCGAGCGUUGUUCGGAUUUACUGGGCGUAAAGGGCGCGCAGGCGGUCAUUUUUGUCGAGUGUGAAAGCCCCGGGCUUAACCUGGGAACUGCGCUCGAAACGGGAUGACUAGA
rnacentral:rRNA from 1 species